rnacentral:tRNA from 1 species
GCCGUUAUAGCUCAGUGGCAGAGCACUGGUCUUGUAAACCAGCGGUCGUGAGUUCGAUCCUCACUGGCGGCU